rnacentral:rRNA from 1 species
GUCGAGAAUCUUUCACAAUGGGGGCAACCCUGAUGGAGCGACGCCGCGUGGAGGAUAAGGUCUUCGGAUUGUAAACUCCUGUCAUGCGUGAACAAGGUUGCUUGGUUAAUACCUGGGCAAAUUGAUGGUAACGCAAGAGGAAGAGACGGCUAACUCUGUGCCAGCAGCCGCGGUAAUACAGAGGUCUCAAGCGUUGUUCGGAAUCACUGGGCGUAAAGGGUGCGUAGGUGGCGUGGUAAGGUAGAUGUGAAAGCACGGGGCUCAAACUCGGAACGGCAUCCGAUACUGCCAUGCUAGAGUACUGGAGAGGUGACUAGAAUUCUCGGUGUAGCAGUGAAAUGCGUAGAUAUCGAGAGGAAUACCAAAGGCGUAGGCAGGUCACUGGACAGUUACUGACACUGAGGCACGAAGGCCAGGGGAGCGAACGGGAUUAGAAACCCGUGUAGUCC